CACGUAGGGCGCGAGCGUUGUCCGGAAUCACUGGGCGUAAAGGGCGCGUAGGCGGAUGGCACAGUCAGAUGUGAAAUUCCUGGGCUUAACCUGGGGGCUGCAUUUGAUACGUGUGAUCUAGAGUGAGGAAGAGGGUUGUGGAAUUCCCAGUGUAGAGGUGAAAUUCGUAGAUAUUGGGAAGAACACCGGUGGCGAAGGCGGCGACCUGGUCCUUAACUGACGCUGAGGCGCGAAAGCGUGGGGAGCAAGCAGG
rnacentral:rRNA from 1 species